rnacentral:rRNA from 1 species
UGCCGGUUUUAAGCCGGAGGAGGCGAGGAUGACGUCAAGUCAGCAUGGCCUUUAUAUCCUGGGCUACACACACGCUACAAUGGUCUGUACAACAGGUUGCCAAACCGCGAGGUGGAGCCAAUCCCUAAAACAGGCCUCAGUUCAGAUUGCAGGCUGCAACCCGCCUGCAUGAAGCCGGAGUUGCUAGUAACCGCAGGUCAGCUAUACUGCGGUGAAUACGUUCCCGGGUCUU